rnacentral:rRNA from 1 species
AUUGAACGCUGGCGGCAGGCCUAACACAUGCAAGUCGAGCGAGCGGCGGACGGGUGAGUAAUGUCUGGGAACCUGCCUGAUGGAGGGGGAUAACUACUGGAAACGGCAGCUAAUACCGCAUACCAUCAGAUGUGCCCAGAUGGGAUUAGCUAGUGGGUGGGGUAAUGGCUCACCUAGGCGACGAACCCUAGCUGGUCUGAGAGGAUUACCAGCCAAACGGGAACUGAGACACGGUCCAGACUCCUACGGGAGGCAGCAGUGGGGAAUCUUGCGCAAUGGGCGCAAGCCUGAUGGAGCCAUGCCGCGUGUGUGAAGAAGGCCUUCGGGUUGGAAAGCACUUUCAGCGGGGAUGCGUUACCCGCAGAAGAAGCACCGGCUAACUCCGUGCCAGCAGCCGCGGUAAUUC